rnacentral:rRNA from 1 species
UGGCUCAGACGAACGCUGGCGGCGUGCUUAACACAUGCAAGUCGAGCGAUGAAGCUUCCUUCGGGAAGUGGAUUAGCGGCGGACGGGUGAGUAACACGUGGGUAACCUGCCUCAAAGUGGGGGAUAGCCUUCCGAAAGGAAGAUUAAUACCGCAUAACAUAAGAGAAUCGCAUGAUUUUCUUAUCAAAGAUUUAUUGCUUUGAGAUGGACCCGCGGCGCAUUAGCUAGUUGGUAAGGUAACGGCUUACCAAGGCAACGAUGCGUAGCCGACCUGAGAGGGUGAUCGGCCACAUUGGAACUGAGACACGGUCCAGACUCCUACGGGAGGCAGCAGUGGGGAAUAUUGCGCAAUGGGGGAAACCCUGACGCAGCAACGCCGCGUGGGUGAUGAAGGUCUUCGGAUUGUAAAGCCCUGUUUUCUGGGACGAUAAUGACGGUACCAGAGGAGGAAGCCACGGCUAACUACGUGCCAGCAGCCGCGGUAAUACGUAGGUGGCGAGCGUUGUCCGGAUUUACUGGGCGUAAAGGGUGCGUAGGCGGAUGUUUAAGUGGGAUGUGAAAUCCCCGGGCUUAACCUGGGGGCUGCAUUCCAAACUGGAUAUCUAGAGUGCAGGAGAGGAAAGCGGAAUUCCUAGUGUAGCGGUGAAAUGCGUAGAGAUUAGGAAGAACACCAGUGGCGAAGGCGGCUUUCUGGACUGUAACUGACGCUGAGGCACGAAAGCGUGGGUAGCAAACAGGAUUAGAUACCCUGGUAGUCCACGCCGUAAACGAUGGAUACUAGGUGUAGGGGGUAUCAACUCCCCCUGUGCCGCAGUUAACACAAUAAGUAUCCCGCCUGGGGAGUACGGUCGCAAGAUUAAAACUCAAAGGAAUUGACGGGGGCCCGCACAAGCAGCGGAGCAUGUGGUUU